rnacentral:rRNA from 1 species
GAUGAACGCUGGCGGCGUGCCUAAUACAUGCAAGUCGAGCGAACAGACGAGGAGCUUGCUCCUUUGACGUUAGCGGCGGACGGGUGAGUAACACGUGGAUAACCUACCUAUAAGACUGGGAUAACUUCGGGAAACCGGAGCUAAUACCGGAUAAUAUAUUGAACCGCAUGGUUCAAUAGUGAAAGACGGCUUUGCUGUCACUUAUAGAUGGAUCCGCGCCGCAUUAGCUAGUUGGUAAGGUAACGGCUUACCAAGGCAACGAUGCGUAGCCGACCUGAGAGGGUGAUCGGCCACACUGGAACUGAGACACGGUCCAGACUCCUACGGGAGGCAGCAGUAGGGAAUCUUCCGCAAUGGGCGAAAGCCUGACGGAGCAACGCCGCGUGAGUGAUGAAGGUCUUCGGAUCGUAAAACUCUGUUAUUAGGGAAGAACAGAUGUGUAAGUAACUAUGCACGUCUUGACGGUACCUAAUCAGAAAGCCACGGCUAACUACGUG